AUGCGUGCGCGCGCGCGCGCACACACACACACACGUACAAAAGUUGAGGCCACCACAUCUGCCUUCCCCAGAUGGGGUUCCCUGCGCAAGAGUCUCCUCCCGCUCCAGGAUUUUCCGACGCUGGCGCAAGCUCCUCCCUUGCCGGAGCCUGGCUCCAGUCCUAGCACAGAGUGUCCGCCCGAGCAGGGGCUGGGGGGCGGCAGGGAGUGGGCCCCGCUCGCCGCCAUUGGCUGUGUGGCUGCCGGGCGGAGGGAAGCCUCCCGCUGCGCCCGCCGCCAGCCCGUGCGCCCCAGCCGCGCGCAGCACCGGUGCGCUCCACCAUUCCCGCCGACCGCUUCUCCUGCGCAGAUCGGCGAGACCCGGAGCGCCUGCGAGGAGCUCGACGCAGCCCGUCCCACCCCGAGCUCGGGAGCCGGCAGGGGACAUCCGCGCGCCCCGAUCCGCAGGCAAAGCGCUUUGAAGAGCUCACCACACACACCUUUAUGGUUCUCUUUAAAGAAGCCUCACUGAAGAGAGAAGAAAUGGAAUGAACAUAAAAUGUGGAGACAUGGUGAUAUAGAUUUGAAUUCCAGUCUGGACUCUAAGUGUCUGGGUAACCUUGGGCAAGCUUUUGAAUUCUCUGAUCCUUAAUUUUCUCAUUGGUUAAAGCAAGGUAAGGGAUAAUAAUAACUACAGUACAGACUUGUGAAGAUUAAAGAAAAUACCCCUGUGCCAUACACACACACACAUACACAUAUACACACAACUAGUAUAUGCUUUUAUUGAAUACAUAUCAGCUGCUGUCAUUCAUUGUGCUGCUGUCAUAGUGAGUCAGUCAGUAGAAGGUAGAUGAUGCUACAGUACAAAAUAAGCGAGUCAUCUCAGUGGCUUAAAACAACAGAAGUCUACUUACUGUUCACACUAAGUGCUCACAUAACCAGAAAGGGGUGAAUGCAUUGGCUUUGGUCACCCAGGAACCCAGAUUGGCAGAAGCUGGCCCAAAUCCACAGUUAUUGCAGCAGAGGGAAGGCAAAUCUCAAACGUGAAAGAAAGGUGAAAGUGAAAGUUGCUCAGUUAUAUCCAAUUCUUUGUGACCCCAUGGACUAUACAGUCCAUGGAAUUCUCCAGGCCAGAAUACUGGAGUGGGUGGCCCUUCCCUUCUCCAGAGGAUCUUCCCAAUCCAGGGAUCAAACCCAGGUUUCCCGCAUUGCAGGCGGAAUCGUUAUCAGCUGAGCCACAAGAGAAGCAAAUUCACACAGUGAUUGGAGCAGAGGGAAGGUAUGUGGCAAAUC
rnacentral:lncRNA from 1 species